rnacentral:rRNA from 1 species
UACAGAGGAUGCAAGCGUUAUCCGGAAUUAUUGGGCGUAAAGCGUCCGCAGGUGGUUUUGUAAGUCUGCUGUUAAAGCGUUAGGCUCAACCUAAUAAGGGCAGUGGAAACUAUGAGACUAGAGUAUGUUAGGGGUAGAGGGAAUUCCCAGUGUAGCGGUGAAAUGCGCAGAUAUCAGGAAGAACACCUAUGGCGAAGGCAGCUCUCUGGGACGGUACUGACGCUGAGACGCGAAAGCGUGGGGAGCGAACAGG